rnacentral:rRNA from 1 species
GACGGAGGGGGCUAGCGUUGUUCGGAAUGACUGGGCGUAAAGGGCGCGUAGGCGGUUUUUUUAAGUGAGGCGUGAAAGCCCUGGGCUUAACCCAGGAGGUGCGUUUCAUACUGGAAGACUUGAGUACGAGAGAGGAAAGCGGAAUUCCUAGUGUAGAGGUGAAAUUCGUAGAUAUUAGGAAGAACACCAGUGGCGAAGGCGCUUUCUGGCUCGUAACUGACGCUGAGGCGCGAAAGCGUGGGGAGCAAACAGA